rnacentral:rRNA from 1 species
AGCGAAACGGGAAGAGCCCAAACCAACAAGCUUGCUUGUUGGGGUUGUAGGACACUCUAUACGGAGUUACAAAGGACGACAUUAGACGAAUCAUCUGGAAAGAUGAAUCAAAGAAGGUAAUAAUCCUGUAGUCGAAAAUGUUGUCUCUCUUGAGUGGAUCCUGAGUACGACGGAGCACGUGAAAUUCCGUCGGAAUCUGGGAGGACCAUCUCCUAAGGCUAAAUACUCUCUAGUGACCGAUAGUGAACCAGUACCGUGAGGGAAAGGUGAAAAGCACCCCGGAAGGGGAGUGAAAUAGAACCUGAAACCGUGUGCUUACAAGUAGUCAGAGCCCGUUAAUGGGUGAUGGCGUGCCUUUUGUAGAAUGAACCGGCGAGUUACGAUUUGAUGCAAGGUUAAGCAGUAAAUGUGGAGCCGUAGCGAAAGCGAGUCUGAAUAGGGCGUUUAGUAUUUGGUCGUAGACCCGAAACCAGGUGAUCUACCCUUGGUCAGGUUGAAGUUCAGGUAACACUGAAUGGAGGACCGAACCGACUUACGUUGAAAAGUGAGCGGAUGAACUGAGGGUAGCGGAGAAAUUCCAAUCGAACCUGGAGAUAGCUGGUUCUCUCCGAAAUAGCUUUAGGGCUAGCCUCAAGUGAUGAUUAUUGGAGGUAGAGCACUGUUUGGACGAGGGGCCCCUCUCGGGUUACCGAAUUCAGACAAACUCCGAAUGCCAAUUAAUUUAACUUGGGAG